CCUACGGGAAGCUGCAGUGGGGAAUAUUGGACAAUGGGGGCAACCCUGAUCCAGCCAUGCCGCGUGUGUGAAGAAGGCCCUCGGGUUGUAAAGCACUUUCAGUGAGGAAGAACGCCUGGUGGUUAAUACCCAUCAGGAAAGACAUCACUCACAGAAGAAGCACCGGCUAACUCCGUGCCAGCAGCCGCGGUAAUACGGAGGGUGCGAGCGUUAAUCGGAAUUACUGGGCGUAAAGCGCGCGUAGGUGGCUUGAUAAGCCGGUUGUGAAAGCCCCGGGCUCAACCUGGGAACGGCAUCCGGAACUGUCAAGCUAGAGUGCAGGAGAGGAAGGUAGAAUUCCCGGUGUAGCGGUGAAAUGCGUAGAGAUCGGGAGGAAUACCAGUGGCGAAGGCGGCCUUCUGGACUGACACUGACACUGAGGUGCGAAAGCGAGGGUAGCAAACAGGAUUAGAUACCCUUGUAGUC
rnacentral:rRNA from 1 species